rnacentral:rRNA from 1 species
GAUGAACGCUGGCGGCGUGCCUAAUACAUGCAAGUCGAGCGAACAGACGAGGAGCUUGCUCCUCUGACGUUAGCGGCGGACGGGUGAGUAACACGUGGAUACCUACCUAUAAGACUGGGAUAACUUCGGGAAACCGGAGCUAAUACCGGAUAAUAUAUUGAACCGCAUGGUUCAAUAGUGAAAGACGGUUUUGCUGUCACUUAUAGAUGGAUCCGCGCCGCAUUAGCUAGUUGGUAAGGUAACGGCUUACCAAGGCAACGAUGCGUAGCCGACCUGAGAGGGUGAUCGGCCACACUGGAACUGAGACGCGGUCCAGACUCCUACGGGAGGCAGCAGUAGGGAAUCUUACGCAAUGGGCGAAAGCCUGACGGAGCAACGCCGCGUGAGUGAUGAAGGUCUUCGGAUCGUAAAACUCUGUUAUUAGGGAAGAACAAAUGUGUAAGUAACUAUGCACGUCUUGACGGUACCUAAUCAGAAAGCCACGGCUAACUACGUG